rnacentral:lncRNA from 1 species
AAGUAUCCCUCAGCACUACUGAAUUUGCAGUCAAAGUGGAAAUAUGAUGCUUUCUCUGGGUUUGAAUAUCAAAAAGGAAAAUUUAUAAAGUAAAAAUAACAUUACAAUUUGGCUUCUUUAAUGAAUGAGCACUAUAAUUCACCUGGCCAUUGGGAACCUUGAAGAAUCUGCCUACAAUCUGCAGCCAAGCUUCUUGGGAAUGAUGGAGUCACUGUUUCAGAGGUAAGAAAAUAUUUUCACCCCUAUCAUAGGCUCAUUGGA